GGCGCACGGGUGAGUAACACGUAGGUAAUCUACCUUUGGAUUGGGAAUAACCACCGGAAACGGUGGCUAAUACCGAAUAAUGCAGCGGCACCUAAUGGUGACAGUUGUUAAAGCGGGGGAUCGCAAGACCUCGCGUCUAAAGAGGAGCCUGCGGCGGAUUAGCUAGUUGGUAAGGUAACGGCUUACCAAGGCGAUGAUCCGUAGCCGGCCUGAGAGGGCGGUCGGCCACACUGACACUGACAUACGGGUCAGACUCCUACGGGAGGCAGCAGUCGGGAAUUUUGGGCAAUGGGCGAAAGCCUGACCCAGCAACGCCGCGUGAAGGAUGAAAUCCCUCGGGAUGUAAACUUCGCAAGAACGGGAAGAAUAAGCCGGUGUUAACACCACCGGCGAUGACGGUACUGUUUGUAAGCUCCGGCUAACUCCGUGCCAGCAGCCGCGGGUAAUACGGGGGGAGCAAGCGUUGUUCGGAUUUACUGGGCGUAAAGGGCGCGU
rnacentral:rRNA from 1 species